rnacentral:rRNA from 1 species
AGUGAACGCUGGCGGUAGGCCUAACACAUGCAAGUCGAACGGCAGCACAGUAAGAGCUUGCUCUUACGGGUGGCGAGUGGCGGACGGGUGAGGAAUACAUCGGAAUCUACUUUUUCGUGGGGGAUAACGUAGGGAAACUUACGCUAAUACCGCAUACGACCUACGGGUGAAAGCAGGGGAUCUUCGGACCUUGCGCGAUUGAAUGAGCCGAUGUCGGAUUAGCUAGUUGGCGGGGUAAAGGCCCACCAAGGCGACGAUCCGUAGCUGGUCUGAGAGGAUGAUCAGCCACACUGGAACUGAGACACGGUCCAGACUCCUACGGGAGGCAGCAGUGGGGAAUAUUGGACAAUGGGCGCAAGCCUGAUCCAGCCAUACCGCGUGGGUGAAGAAGGCCUUCGGGUUGUAAAGCCCUUUUGUUGGGAAAGAAAAGCAGCAGGUUAAUACCCCGCUGUUCUGACGGGACCCAAGGAAUAAGCACCGGCUAACUUCGU